rnacentral:rRNA from 1 species
UACGUAGGGGGCAAGCGUUGUCCGGAAUCAUUGGGCGUAAAGAGCGUGUAGGCGGCCCGAUAAGUCCGCCGUGAAAGUCCAGGGCUCAACCCUGGAAUGCCGGUGGAAACUGUCGGGCUGGAGUCCGGAAGAGGCGAGUGGAAUUCCUGGUGUAGCGGUGGAAUGCGCAGAUAUCAGGAGGAACACCAAUAGCGAAGGCAGCUCGCUGGGACGUUACUGACACUAAGGCGCGAAAGCGUGGGGAGCGAACAGG